rnacentral:rRNA from 1 species
CCCGCACAAGCGGUGGAGCAUGUGGUUAAUUCGAAGCAACGCGAAGAACCUUACCAGGUCUUGACAUCCCGAUGCUAUUUCUAGAGAUAGAAAGUUACUUCGGUACAUCGGUGACAGGUGGUGCAUGGUUGUCGUCAGCUCGUGUCGUGAGAUGUUGGGUUAAGUCCCGCAACGAGCGCAACCCCUAUUGUUAGUUGCCAUCAUUCAGUUGGGCACUCUAGCGAGACUGCCGGUAAUAAACCGGAGGAAGUGGGGAUGACGUCAAAUCAUCAUGCCCCUUAUGACCUGGGCUACACACGUGCUACAAUGGUUGGUACAACGAGUUGCGAGUCGGUGACGGCGAGCUAAUCUCUUAAAGCCAAUCUCAGUUCGGAUUGUAGGCUGCAACUCGCCUACAUGAAGUCGGAAUCGCUAGUAAUCGCGGAUCAGCACGCCGCGGUGAAUACGUUCCCGGGCCUU